ACGUUUAGUUAGAAAAACUUAAGCUUCAUCAAUACGCCAAGUAAUGCGUAAACUAUUUUCUGAUGAAUUAUUAAAAUACUAAAGUUACAUUGGUCAAAAAAAAAAGAAAAUAUUCUCGACAUUGUCAUCUUGUACAAUUAUUUUUGAAACCAUAAGAAAAUGUACAGAUUUUCAAAAUGCUUUAAAUACUGAAAUAGAAGAACCUAUUAAAAUAUACAUCGCUGGAGCAGCAUUUAAAAAAAAAAAAUAAUCUUAUUUAAUUAAUUUGUUGUUAAUUUCUUUAUUAUUAUAAAUAAAAGUAAUUUUUAUAAUACUAAUAUUAAAAUAUAUGUAAAUAUAUGUAUCUUGUACCUGUUAUUUGGGUGUUGAGCAAAAUAUUGAAGGAACAAUAAAUACCCAACCUAUAUAUGUUUUGUACAUAUAUAGAUAAGGUUUUUUUUACUGUAUUAAAAAAUUAAACAAAGAAUAUCUAUACAAAUGUAAA